CUAGUAAUAAACAUAUCUGCCAU
rnacentral:siRNA from 1 species